UCAUAGCCCUGAUUGACGCGGCAUCCUUUUGUGUGACGGUCGGAACGAAGAGGAGACCGACACACAAAAGAUAUAGCGGAAAGCAGGUUCCCGG
rnacentral:sRNA from 2 species